UACAGAGGUCUCAAGCGUUGUUCGGAUUCAUUGGGCGUAAAGGGCGCGUAGGCUGCGGGGCAAGUCGGGUGUGAAAUCUCAGAACUCAACUCUGAAACUGCACUCGAUACUGCUUUGCUUGAGGACUGGAGAGGAGAUUGGAAUUCACGGUGUAGCAGUGAAAUGCGUAGAUAUCGUGAGGAAGACCAGUGGCGAAGGCGGAUCUCUGGACAGUUCCUGACGCUGAGGCGCGAAGGCCAGGGGAGCAAACGGG
rnacentral:rRNA from 1 species